GACGAACGCUGGCGGCGUGCUUAACACAUGCAAGUCGAACGGAAAGGCCCUGCUUUUGUGGGGUGCUCGAGUGGCGAACGGGUGAGUAACACGUGAGUAACCUGCCCUUGACUUUGGGAUAACUUCAGGAAACUGGGGCUAAUACCGGCUAGGAGCUCCUGCUGCAUGGUGGGGGUUGGAAAGUUUCGGCGGUUGGGGAUGGACUCGCGGCUUAUCAGCUUGUUGGUUGGGUAGUGGCUUACCAAGGCUUUGACGGGUAGCCGGCCUGAGAGGGUGACCGGCCACAUUGGGACUGAGAUACGGCCCAGACUACUACGGGAGGCAGCAGUGGGGAAGAUUGCACAAUGGGCGGAAGCCUGAUGCAGCAACGCCGCGUGCGGGAUGACGGCCUUCGGGUUGUAAACCGCUUUCGCCUGUGACGAAGCGUGAGUGACGGUAAUGGGUAAAGAAGCACCGGCUAACUACGUG
rnacentral:rRNA from 1 species